rnacentral:tRNA from 1 species
GGGCGAUUAGCUCAGUGGCCGAGAGCGCUUGCCUUACAAGCAAGAUGUCGGUGGUUCGAAUCCACCAUCGCCCA